rnacentral:rRNA from 1 species
AGAACGAACGCUGGCGGCGUGGAUAAGACAUGCAAGUCGAACGGGAUUUCAUGAGUAGCAAUACAAGUGAGGUCUAGUGGCGAACGGGUGCGUAACACGUGGAUACAUUCCGGGAAGCGGGGGAUAGCCCAGGGAAACUUGGAUUAAUACCGCAUGUGGUCGAAAGACUAAAGGCAGGGACCGCAAGGCCUGCCACUUCCCGAUUGGUCCGCGGCCUAUCAGCUAGUUGGCGGGGUAAAAGCCACCAAGGCUACGACGGGUAGCUGGUCUUAGAGGACGACCAGCCACACUGGAACUGAGACACGGUCCAGACACCUACGGUGGCAGCAGUCGAGAAUCUUUCACAAUGGGGGCAACCCUGAUGGAGCGACGCCGCGUGGAGGAUAAGGUCUUCGGAUUGUAAACUCCUGUCAUGUGUGAACAAGGUUGUCUUGUUAAUAGCGAGGCAAAUUGAUGGUAACACGAAGAGGAAGAGACGGCUAACGUCUGUGCCAGCAGCCGUA